UACGAAGGGGGCUAGCGUUGCUCGGAAUCACUGGGCGUAAAGCGCACGUAGGCGGAUUGUUAAGUCAGGGGUGAAAUCCUGGAGCUCAACUCCAGAACUGCCUUUGAUACUGGGGAUCUCGAGUCCGGAAGAGGUGAGUGGAACUGCGAGUGUAGAGGUGAAAUUCGUAGAUAUUCGCAAGAACACCAGUGGCGAAGGCGGCUCACUGGUCCGGUACUGACGCUGAGGUGCGAAAGCGUGGGGAGCAAACAGG
rnacentral:rRNA from 1 species